UAGAAGUGGUGCUAGACUUUGUAGCAUAGGAUCCUCUCGUGGUAGUGGUUCUGCCAUGCCUUCUCCUAGCCCUGGUCCUUCUUCUAGACCUAUAGGUUUUUUUACCCAAACAUCAUCUUCUAAGGGAAAGGAACCCUAUGAACCAUUACAGGAGCCUUUAGUAGAAGAGAUAGUCCCUAGCGAUUUAUCUUUUCAUCAUGAUAGACAAUCA
rnacentral:lncRNA from 1 species